GAAGAGGGCUAAAACUUAACAUGGAGUUUGCAGCAGGAACUCUCUGGUGAUCUAAAAGAGACUGGAGUGGGAGGAUAAAAGCCUGUUUGGAUGAUCUCAAGAGGAAAUGAAAGAACAGUGAGCUAAGUCAGAAAGAAGAGUGAAAAGAGUGUGUCUAACCAGAAAGCAGCAUAAGGGUUUUGGGAUGCUUAGCCAGGCUCUUUGACCUGCAAAGAACAGAGUCCCAUUCAGGUAAAAUAUCAUCACCUUUGGGACAUUUGGAGAACAUUGUUAGUAUCAAGUUCAAGCAGAUUCUCUGCCCUCAUACUCAAGCCAUAUCUUGGUCAUGUUACAAUACAGU